GACGAACGCUGGCGGCGUGCUUAACACAUGCCAGUCGAACGGAAAGGCCCUGCUUUUGUGGGGUGCUCGAGUGGCGAACGGGUGAGUAACACGUGAGUAACCUGCCCUUGACUUUGGGAUAACUUCAGGAAACUGGGGCUAAUACCGGAUAGGAGCUCCUGCUGCAUGGUGGGGGUUGGAAAGUUUCGGCGGUUGGGGAUGGACUCGCGGCUUAUCAGCUUGUUGGUGGGGUAGUGGCUUACCAAGGCUUUGACGGGUAGCCGGCCUGAGAGGGUGACCGGCCACAUUGGGACGGAGAUACGGCCCAGACUCCUACGGGAGGCAGCAGUGGGGAAUAUUGCACAAUGGGCGGAAGCCUGAUGCAGCAACGCCGCGUGCGGGAUGACGGCCUUCGGGUUGUAAACCGAUUUCGCCUGUGACGAAGCGUGAGUGACGGUAAUGGGUAAAGAAGCACCGGCUAACUACGUG
rnacentral:rRNA from 1 species